ACUUCGCGCCGCGCAUUCAGACUGACCACUUCGCAUCCUCGGCCAGCCCACAGCAAGACUUCACUUCUGCCGCCAUACGAGAAUGUAGUCGUCUCGUAAAGGGAUGUUUUCCCUAAGUUUUUUUAGACCUUAAUUAGUCAGUCUGUGUUUCCUAUUAGAGAUUUUUAUGUUUUGCUAAAUUCGAAUUUUUUAUUCAUCGAUGAGUGCGCCCGCGUCAAUCACGCAUGUUCGGGACGGUCUUCGCUCACCUCCCGGGGGGCACAUGUCCUGAGUGCUACGAGCUACACCCUGUUUUACAGGGUUCAAGAGCCGGAGCUAGCAUGGCGACCGCAUGCUUUUUUCCCGUCCUCGGACCCAGGACUGCUAUGGCGUCCUGGUAGUCCAACUCCAGCGUGAGACUUCAUCUCCGGCCACCUAGUUCCAAACAUCGUAUUUCCAAGUUCUCCCUUAGACCUCCAGCGUGCCAAAAUGUGAUAAUUAGAGAACUUUAACUACUCGACGGGCCAAUCAUUAUAAUCCUGGGAUUGUAGUCUCUUUUCGUUAAUUGUUUAUUCUUAUUGUUAAUUAUGGUGGGAGUCCUCUCGUAAUAUUUUUACAAAGGGUCGACCCAACGAACCAAGAUUGACCUAAUUUGUGUAUUAGCCACCAUUCUAAUGUCUAACUAAUAAUGCAUUAGUCAAAUGUUGUAUGUCAAGGAACUAACUUCUUUAUCAUGUUUAUUUUAUAAUGUUUUGUUGGCUCAGUUUCCAGUAAAUAUAAAAGUAAAAUUAAUAGGUGCACAGA